rnacentral:rRNA from 1 species
GACGAACGCUGGCGGCAGGCCUAACACAUGCAAGUCGAGCGCGCGGCGGACGGGUGAGUAAUGUCUGGGAAAAUGCCUGAUGGAGGGGGAUAACUACUGGAAACGGUAGCUAAUACCGCAUACCAUCAGAUGUGCCCAGAGGGGAUUAUCUAGUAGGUGGGGUAAUGGCUCACCUAGGCGACGAUCCCUAGCUGGUCUGAGAGGAUGACCAGCCACACUGGAACUUAGACACGGUCCAGACUCCUACGUGAGGCAGCAGUGGGGAAUAUUGAAAAAUGGGCGCAAGCCUAAUGCAGCCAUGCCGCGUGUAUGAAGAAGGCCUUCGGGUUGUAAAGUACUUUCAGCGGGGAGGCUUUACCCGCAGAAGAAGCACCGGCUAACUCCGUGCCAGCAGCCGCGGUAAUAC